rnacentral:rRNA from 1 species
GGCGAACGCUGGCGGCGUGCCUAAUACAUGCAAGUUGAGCGCUGAAGGUUGGUACUUGUACCAACUGGAUGAGCAGCGAACGGGUGAGUAACGCGUGGGGAAUCUGCCUUUGAGCGGGGGACAACAUUUGGAAACGAAUGCUAAUACCGCAUAAAAACUUUAAACACAAGUUUUAAGUUUGAAAGAUGCAAUUGCAUCACUCAAAGAUGAUCCCGCGUUGUAUUAGCUAGUUGGUGAGGUAAAGGCUCACCAAGGCGAUGAUACAUAGCCGACCUGAGAGGGUGAUCGGCCACAUUGGGACUGAGACACGGCCCAAACUCCUACGGGAGGCAGCAGUAGGGAAUCUUCGGCAAUGGACGAAAGUCUGACCGAGCAACGCCGCGUGAGUGAAGAAGGUUUUCGGAUCGUAAAACUCUGUUGGUAGAGAAGAACGUUGGUGAGAGUGGAAAGCUCAUCAAGUGACGGUAACUACCCAGAAAGGGACGGCUAACUACGU